rnacentral:misc_RNA from 1 species
GUGAAUCAUCGAAUCUUUGAACGCAUAUUGCGCCCCUUGGUAUUCCGGGGGGCACACCUGUUCGAGCGCCAUUUUGACCCUCAAGCAUAGCUUGGUGUUGGGUGGGGUCCCUUGGGGGACCCUCCCGUAACUUGUAGGCGGUCGCCACCCGCACCCCCCAGCGUAGCAAGCUCACGCCCUCGCUUGGGGAUGGGGUGCGACCACGCCCUGCAACAAACCCACUAAAGGUUUGGCCUCGGAUCAGGUGGGGAUACCCGCUGAACUUAAGCAUAUCAAUAAGCGGAGGA